GCACAAGCGGUGGAGCAUGUGGUUUAAUUCGAUGAUACGCGAGGAACCUUACCUGGGCUCAAAUGUAUGUUGACGUAUUCUGAAAGGGAUACUUCUUCGGACAAUAUACAAGGUGCUGCAUGGUUGUCGUCAGCUCGUGCCGUGAGGUGUCGGGUUAAGUCCCAUAACGAGCGCAACCCCUAUCAUUAGUUGCCAUCAGGUAAUGCUGGGGACUCUAAAGGAACUGCCUACGCAAGUAGUGAGGAAGGCGGGGAUGACGUCAAAUCAGCACGGCCCUUACGUCCAGGGCUACACACGUGCUACAAUGGCCGAUACAGAGGGCAGCUACCUGGUGACAGGAUGCAAAUCUCCAAAGUCGGUCUCAGUUCGGAUCGGAGUCUGCAACCCGACUCCGUGAAGUUGGAUUCGCUAGUAAUCGCGCAUCAGCCAUGGCGCGGUGAAUACGUUCCCGGGCCUU
rnacentral:rRNA from 1 species